CCGUGGCUUUCGUGUUCUGGCGUCCUUCUGGGCCCUUAGAUCACUGCUGGGCAGGAGGAAUGGGGAAGGGCAAAGCGGGAAGCUCAUGCCUGCUUACUUUGCCUCCUUAAUUCAAGAAAGUGUCCUUGGAAGUCCCCAAGUGGACUUUACAUUGGCCAAAACAGGGUUCCAUGGCUACCUCUCGUGGCAAGAGAGUCUGGGAGCUGCAAACAUCUUGGCUGGUCCCCAAAUCACCAGUGCACCUUGUCUUACAAACUCCUCGAAGCCAUUUGAUUCCUGCUUCCCUUGCGCUUCUGCACUGUGGAAAUUAUGAGAUGUAUAUCCUGAGGUUCCCCAGGGAAACAGGCAGAGUUCCAGAAGUUUCCUCUACCAAGUAGAGGACACUUGAAUGUCAAGGACUCUCCCUCCAUUCUAAGCUGUUUUCUGCAGAAGUCAGGAUUACCAGACCAAGGUGAGGCACUGUUCAAAUAUGUCUGUUCUUCCUGGGGAUCGGAUGUCACCUGAAGCAAUUCCAGAGGGCAAGCUUCCUUGCAGGAGUGGCGCCAGGUGCUAAAGACUCUUCCUGCCCCUUCCACAGUUGAUAAGGUGAGCUGCCGGGUCCUCGAGGUGCAUGCUCGUCAUUGUAGGUCAGCCCUACAGGUGCAGGAGGCCUCUGGGGACAGCAAAUCCCAAUCCCAUCACAGGUCCCUUCCAAAUAGGGGAGUCUGAGUCCUCUGUA